GGGUUCCUUCUGUGCUGUAGAGAUCAAGCUCUCGCAGCCGACGCCGCUGUCGCCCGCGCCAUGGGGCGCGCUCUCGGUGCUUGCCUCCGCCUCCUCACACGCGCGAGAGGGAGCAUGAAGGAAUAAGAUCGAAAAAAGAGAGGGGCAAAUUCUUUAUAGCUGAGAACUAUGAGAUAAUGAGAUGGAUUACAUCCUACAUUGCUACAGGUUAUGAAUGAGGCACUGAGAUAUGGCAACAUUGUCAAUCUUGACCACGGGAAGGCUCUCAAAAGAUAGAUACAAAGUUCACUGGGGUUGGUACAAUGGUUUUCCCCAACCAUUUUUGCACACCGUUUAUUUGUCAUAUUUGAUGAAUGGAAUGGCAGAACAAGCUCUCAGUGAUGAAAUGCAAAUGCUAGUAAUAUCUCCGACAUGGUCGACUGCAGUUCUUCGUCAGUCUGCUGCUCUGAUUUCUUCAGAUAUGGGAUAUGAAGCUCAAGAAAUGCCCAAAGAAGAUCUCCCUCCAGACUCUCCUUCAUGUGUUUGCCUCCUGCAACCUGGGAAGUAUGUGUACGCAAAAAUGCUUCCCGUCGGCCACUGUAUGCUUAGGGGCGGCGUCCUUCACCGGCUUUUGAGAGCUGUCAAGAUGUUGCGUUGACAAUUUUGAGCUGAAAUGUUCACUGCAUACCAAGCUAGACCCAGGGUGCUUAGAAGGAUAGAGCGAGAAGCUGUUGGCAAGAAUUCAGGAGCUAGAGGGCGCUACGAUUCUAUUGCCUGACACCGUUGGUGACUGUCGAGUGUUACCGGUGUGGCACUGUUCAGCUUUUGUUUUCACUGGGAUCCUGCUCGUAGACUUGCGACAUUGCUAUCCCAGUAUUUUCAUUUUUCUGUUGAUUAAUUUGAAACAGGCGAAC